CACUUUCUUCCUGCCUGGAGCGAUGGCUGGAGCAGAGGAGGGAAACGCCGUAUGGAGCCUGAGGACCAGGAAGGGAGCACCUGGGGUGCCCCGGGCCUCAAGCUUGGAUUUCCAUGAUGCAACCUGAACUCCUCCAAGUAAUGGAUGCGCAGGAAAGAACACAAUGAAAAGACAGCCAUCUGCAAACCAGGAAGUAGACCCGCACCCAAACCUGACCUUGCUGGCCCUGCGACCUCCAACUUCCCUCCCCCAGAACUGAGAGAAAUAAACGUCUUAUUGUCAGUGCCAGCAGCCCAAGCUCGCAGAUCCCCUGGAGGCGUAUUAAAACUUCGGCAGAGCUGUUUCCUUCUCUCUUCAGCGGAAGCAUAAGGGCCAUGUCAGCGGCCAUCUCCAACUCUUCCCUGGCUUUCCCAAAUAUCCCUGCUCUUCCGACACAGAACACCUUAGAGUUUACCGAGUUUAAUAAAGACUUUCAGAGUCUACCUGGCAGAGCGCCUCGGAGCCAGGGGCUGUGUUCCAGACCCUUCCACUUGUUGCCAUGCUUGUCUGAGUUGAAAAUCAAUCCAUGGUUGUUCCGUGGACACGUUUUGUUCUUCACUCGUCUGAGGGCACAAUUAAGUCUCUGGAAAUAAACGCUGUGCUCAGGGACGUCAUUUGAUCAGGGACUAACUGUGCUUCUUUGGGUCAGAACAUUCGCAGGCAGAAGUAACAAGUUCCCUUUCAGGAAGGGACAGAGUCUCCCGGCGAAAUCCGAACCCGGCUUUUUAUCACUUCACACACAGAGGCAGCCCUGGUUGAGGUUUGCCUUUUAAUGAUUUAUUAGCGCAGCCGCAUCUGACAGUUUGAGUGUUUUAAUUCUGCCUGAUCCGCACACAGCUUUGACACUGUUGACUGUGACCUCCUCCUGGGUCGCUUUGAGUGCCCUGUCGGCUGAGCUGAGCUGACAGUGAGUGGGUUUCACUCCCGUUUGCUCAACAGCGAUCUCCUUUCCCAAUGAGAGGCCCCUUUCCUUCUCCUGGGCUGGCAUUCGCGAGGCUGGCUCCGGGCACCUCCACCCAGGCUCCAGGGCCAGGCUGCGCCCUCUAACAGGAGGAAGUGGGUGCAGGGGAGAGAGAGCAGUCUUUGAGCUCAGGCUGUGGCUGGAGUUCUGGCUCCAGGUGACAAGUCACUUCACCUCUCAGCGCCUUGGGUGGGCCAUCUCUAAGUGGAGACGAUGACGCCACCUCGAACCGUGUUUGUGCAGAUCCCAAGGCUACCUAGUGCACCAGACUAGCCCUUCCGGGAGGCCAUC